UGCCUACUCUAGCCCAACCAACUCCACUCCCAAACAAUCCACUGCCAAACUAAACUAAAACAUUCUACCUUCAACCUAGUAUAGGCGAUAGAAAAGACCUCUUCGGCGCAAUAGAGUGAACCGUACCGUAAGGGAAAGAUGAAAUAACAAUGAAACUCCAAGCAACAGACAGCAAAGAUCAACCCUUGUACCUUUUGCAUCAUGAUUUAGCAAGAACAACCAAGCAAAACGGAUUGAAGCUUGCCCCCCCGAAACCCAAGCGAGCUACUUACAGGCAGCCCAUCACCCGGGGCAAACCCGUCUCUGUUGCAAAAGAGUGGGAUGACCUGUCAGUAGUGGUGAAAAGCCUACCGAGCUGGGUGAUAGCUGGUUGCCCACCAAACGAAUCUGAGUUCCCCCUUAAUUUUCCCUCCAGGACCCAUUAACCUCCUUGUAAUAGAAUUAAGAGCUACUCAAAGGAGGUACAGCUCCUUUGACAAAGAACACAACCUCCUCUAGCGGAUAACCACCCCGCCCCCAUCCUUGUAGGCCUUAAAGCAGCCACCAACAAAGAGUGCGUCAAAGCUCAUCACCCAAAGAUCCAAAAACAUACAUGACUCCCUUACCCACAAUGGGCUAACCUAUCACAAUAGAAGAAUUAAUGCUAAAAUGAGUAACCUGAGACCCUCCCUCCAAAAGCGUAAACUUACAUUAAUACAUUAUUAACAGACCACUUAUACCCCCACUCCAACAAGAACACAUAUUUUUUCCCCUGUUAAACCCACCCAGGAACGCCCACCGGACGAUUAAAAUCUGUAGAAGGAACUCGGCAAACCCCAGGCCCGACUGUUUACCAAAAACAUAGCCUUCAGCUAACAACAAGUAUUGAAGGUGAUGCCUGCCCAGUGACAUCAAAGUUCAACGGCCGCGGUAUCCUAACCGUGCAAAGGUAGCGCAAUCAAUUGUCCCAUAAAUCGAGACUUGUAUGAACGGCUAAACGAGGUCUUAACUGUCUCCUACAGAUAAUCGGUGAAAUUGAUACUCUCGUGCAAAAGCGGGAAUGUAGACAUAAGACGAGAAGACCCUGUGGAACUUAAAAAUCAGCGACCACCUAAUCAAACCUCCCCCCUCACACGGGCCCACCACCCACUAUCAUUAGUGCCUGGUCAACAUUUUUCGGUUGGGGCGACCUUGGAGAAAAAAAAACCCUCCAAACUACCCAGGCCACAACCCUUCACCAAGAGCUACUACUCAAAGUGCUAAAAGUCACUAGACCCAAUACAAUUGACCAACGGACCAAGCUACCCCAGGGAUAACAGCGCAAUCCCCUCCAAGAGCCCAUAUCGACAAGGGGGUUUACGACCUCGAUGUUGGAUCAGGACAACCUAAUGGUGCAGCCGCUAUUAAGGGUUCGUUUGUUCAACGAUUAACAGUCCUACGUGAUCUGAGUUCAGACCGGAGCAAUCCAGGUCGGUUUCUAUCUAUGAAGCACCUCUUCUAGUACGAAAGGACCGAAGAAGUGGGGCCAAUACCACAAGCAUGCCCUCCCUCUAAGUAGUGAAUUCAACUCAACUACCAAGAAACCAACACACCACAACUACUGUCCGAGAAAAGGACUA
rnacentral:rRNA from 1 species